rnacentral:rRNA from 1 species
GAUGAACGCUAGCGGCAGGCUUAAUACAUGCAAGUCGUGGGGCAGCAUGAGUGUAGCAAUACAUUUGAUGGCGACCGGCAAACGGGUGCGGAACACGUACACAACCUUCCUUCAAGUGGGGAAUAGCCCAGGGAAACUUGGAUUAAUACCCCGUAAUAUUAUGGAGUGGCAUCACUUUAUAAUUAUAGCUCCGGCGCUUGAUGAUGGGUGUGCGCCUGAUUAGGUAGUUGGCGGGGUAACGGCCCACCAAGCCUUCGAUCAGUAACUGGUGUGAGAGCACGACCAGUCACACGGGCACUGAGACACGGGCCCGACUCCUACGGGAGGCAGCAGUAA